CUGAUUGAUGGUGCUUGCACCUGAUUGACGAUGGAUCACCAGUGAGUGGCGGACGGGUGAGUAACACGUAGGUAACCUGCCCCGGAGCGGGGGAUAACAUUUGGAAACAGAUGCUAAUACCGCAUAACAACAAAAGCCGCAUGGCUUUUGUUUGAAAGAUGGCUUUGGCUAUCACUCUGGGAUGGACCUGCGGUGCAUUAGCUAGUUGGUAAGGUAACGGCUUACCAAGGCGAUGAUGCAUAGCCGAGUUGAGAGACUGAUCGGCCACAAUGGAACUGAGACACGGUCCAUACUCCUACGGGAGGCAGCAGUAGGGAAUCUUCCACAAUGGGCGCAAGCCUGAUGGAGCAACACCGCGUGAGUGAAGAAGGGUUUCGGCUCGUAAAGCUCUGUUGUUGGAGAAGAACGUGCGUGAGAGUAACUGUUCACGCAGUGACGGUAUCCAACCAGAAAGUCACGGCUAACUACGUGCCAGCAGCCGCGGUAAUACGUAGGUGGCAAGCGUUAUCCGGAUUUAUUGGGCGUAAAGCGAGCGCAGGCGGUUGCUUAGGUCUGAUGUGAAAGCCUUCGGCUUAACCGAAGAAGUGCAUCGGAAACCGGGCGACUUGAGUGCAG
rnacentral:rRNA from 2 species